rnacentral:rRNA from 1 species
AGAGUUUGAUCAUGGCUCAGAUUGAACGCUGGCGGCAGGCCUAACACAUGCAAGUCGAGCGGAAACGAGUUAUCUGAACCUUCGGGGGACGAUAACGGCGUCGAGCGGCGGACGGGUGAGUAAUGCCUAGGAAAUUGCCCUGAUGUGGGGGAUAACCAUUGGAAACGACGGCUAAUACCGCAUAAUACCUACGGGUCAAAGAGGGGGACCUUCGGGCCUCUCGCGUCAGGAUAUGCCUAGGUGGGAUUAGCUAGUUGGUGAGGUAAUGGCUCACCAAGGCGACGAUCCCUAGCUGGUCUGAGAGGAUGAUCAGCCACACUGGAACUGAGACACGGUCCAGACUCCUACGGGAGGCAGCAGUGGGGAAUAUUGCACAAUGGGCGCAAGCCUGAUGCAGCCAUGCCGCGUGUGUGAAGAAGGCCUUCGGGUUGUAAAGCACUUUCAGUCGUGAGGAAGGUAGUGUAGUUAAUAGCUGCAUUAUUUGACGUUAGCGACAGAAGAAGCACCGGCUAACUCCGUGCCAGCAGCCGCGGUAAU